rnacentral:rRNA from 1 species
GUGUUAGUGGAAGCGUCUGGAAAGGCGCGCGAUACAGGGUGACAGCCCCGUACACAAAAAUGCACAUGCUGUGAGCUCGAUGAGUAGGGCGGGACACGUGGUAUCCUGUCUGAAUAUGGGGGGACCAUCCUCCAAGGCUAAAUACUCCUGACUGACCGAUAGUGAACCAGUACCGUGAGGGAAAGGCGAAAAGAACCCCGGCGAGGGGAGUGAAAAAGAACCUGAAACCGUGUACGUACAAGCAGUGGGAGCACAGAGCAAUCUGUGUGACUGCGUACCUUUUGUAUAAUGGGUCAGCGACUUAUAUUCUGUAGCAAGGUUAACCGAAUAGGGGAGCCGAAGGGAAACCGAGUCUUAACUGGGCGUUAAGUUGCAGGGUAUAGACCCGAAACCCGGUGAUCUAGCCAUGGGCAGGUUGAAGGUUGGGUAACACUAACUGGAGGACCGAACCGACUAAUGUUGAAAAAUUAGCGGAUGACUUGUGGCUGGGGGUGAAAGGCCAAUCAAACCGGGAGAUAGCUGGUUCUCCCCGAAAGCUAUUUAGGUAGCGCCUCGUGAAUUCAUCUCCGGGGGUAGAGCACUGUUUCGGCAAGGGGGUCAUCCCGACUUACCAACCCGAUGCAAACUGCGAAUACCGGAGAAUGUUAUCACGGGAGACACACGGCGGGUGCUAACGUCCGUCGUGAAGAGGGAAACAACCCAGACCGCCAGCUAAGGUCCCAAAGUCAUGGUUAAGUGGGAAACGAUGUGGGAAGGCCCAGACAGCCAGGAUGUUGGCUUAGAAGCAGCCAUCAUUUAAAGAAAGCGUAAUAGCUCACUGGUCGAGUCGGCCUGCGCGGAAGAUGUAACGGGGCUAAACCAUGCACCGAAGCUGCGGCAGCGACGCUUAUGCGUUGUUGGGUAGGGGAGCGUUCUGUAAGCCUGCGAAGGUGUGCUGUGAGGCAUGCUGGAGGUAUCAGAAGUGCGAAUGCUGACAUAAGUAACGAUAAAGCGGGUGAAAAGCCCGCUCGCCGGAAGACCAAGGGUUCCUGUCCAACGUUAAUCGGGGCAGGGUGAGUCGACCCCUAAGGCGAGGCCGAAAGGCGUAGUCGAUGGGAAACAGGUUAAUAUUCCUGUACUUGGUGUUACUGCGAAGGGGGGACGGAGAAGGCUAUGUUGGCCGGGCGACGGUUGUCCCGGUUUAAGCGUGUAGGCUGGUUUUCCAGGCAAAUCCGGAAAAUCAAGGCUGAGGCGUGAUGACGAGGCACUACGGUGCUGAAGCAACAAAUGCCAUGCUUCCAGGAAAAGCCUCUAAGCAUCAGGUAACAUCAAAUCGUACCCCAAACCGACACAGGUGGUCAGGUAGAGAAUACCAAGGCGCUUGAGAGAACUCGGGUGAAGGAACUAGGCAAAAUGGUGCCGUAACUUCGGGAGAAGGCACGCUGAUAUGUAGGUGAAGCGACUUGCUCGUGGAGCUGAAAUCAGUCGAAGAUACCAGCUGGCUGCAACUGUUUAUUAAAAACACAGCACUGUGCAAACACGAAAGUGGACGUAUACGGUGUGACGCCUGCCCGGUGCCGGAAGGUUAAUUGAUGGGGUCAGCGCAAGCGAAGCUCUUGAUCGAAGCCCCGGUAAACGGCGGCCGUAACUAUAACGGUCCUAAGGUAGCGAAAUUCCUUGUCGGGUAAGUUCCGACCUGCACGAAUGGCGUAAUGAUGGCCAGGCUGUCUCCACCCGAGACUCAGUGAAAUUGAACUCGCUGUGAAGAUGCAGUGUACCCGCGGCAAGACGGAAAGACCCCGUGAACCUUUACUAUAGCUUGACACUGAACAUUGAGCCUUGAUGUGUAGGAUAGGUGGGAGGCUUUGAAGUGUGGACGCCAGUCUGCAUGGAGCCGACCUUGAAAUACCACCCUUUAAUGUUUGAUGUUCUAACGUUGACCCGUAAUCCGGGUUGCGGACAGUGUCUGGUGGGUAGUUUGACUGGGGCGGUCUCCUCCUAAAGAGUAACGGAGGAGCACGAAGGUUGGCUAAUCCUGGUCGGACAUCAGGAGGUUAGUGCAAUGGCAUAAGCCAGCUUGACUGCGAGCGUGACGGCGCGAGCAGGUGCGAAAGCAGGUCAUAGUGAUCCGGUGGUUCUGAAUGGAAGGGCCAUCGCUCAACGGAUAAAAGGUACUCCGGGGAUAACAGGCUGAUACCGCCCAAGAGUUCAUAUCGACGGCGGUGUUUGGCACCUCGAUGUCGGCUCAUCACAUCCUGGGGCUGAAGUAGGUCCCAAGGGUAUGGCUGUUCGCCAUUUAAAGUGGUACGCGAGCUGGGUUUAGAACGUCGUGAGACAGUUCGGUCCCUAUCUGCCGUGGGCGCUGGAGAACUGAGGGGGGCUGCUCCUAGUACGAGAGGACCGGAGUGGACGCAUCACUGGUGUUCGGGUUGUCAUGCCAAUGGCACUGCCCGGUAGCUAAAUGCGGAAGAGAUAAGUGCUGAAAGCAUCUAAGCACGAAACUUGCCCCGAGAUGAGUUCUCCCUGACUCCUUGAGAGUCCUGAAGGAACGUUGAAGACGACGACGUUGAU